UGCAUUGAAGAGGUUACAGGAUUAUGGCA
rnacentral:piRNA from 1 species